rnacentral:rRNA from 1 species
GGAAUCUUGCGCAAUGGGCGAAAGCCUGACGCAGCAACGCCGCGUGGGGGACGAAGGCCUUCGGGUUGUAAACCCCUUUCAGCAGGGGCGAACAUGACGGUACCUGCAGAAGAAGCCCCGGCCAACUACGUGCCAGCAGCCGCGGUAAUCCGUAGGGGGCGAGCGUUGUCCGGAUUUAUUGGGCGUAAAGCGCUCGUAGGCGGUUUAGCAAGUCGGGUGUGAAAACUCCGGGCUCAACUCGGAGACGCCACUCGAUACUGCUAUGACUCGAGUCCGGUAGGGGAGUGCGGAAUUCCUGGUGUAGCGGUGAAAUCCGCAGAUAUCAGGAGGAACACCGGUGGCGAAGGCGGCACUCUGGGCCGGUACUGACGCUGAGGAGCGAAAGCGUGGGGAGCGAAC